rnacentral:rRNA from 1 species
GUUUGAUCCUGGCUCAGGACGAACGCUGGCGGCGUGCUUAACACAUGCAAGUCGAGGGCACUUGGGUAGCAAUAUUCAAGUGACCGGCGAACGGGUGCGUAACACGUGAGCGACCUUGCCUCGUGGUGGGGGAUAGCCGGCCCAACGGCCGGGUAAUACCGCAUAUGGUAGUUUCUUCGCAUGGGGAGACUAGCAAAGCCUUGGAGCAAUCCAAUGGCGCCACAGGGGGGGCUCGCGGCCUAUCAGCUAGUUGGGGGGGUAAUGGCCCACCAAGGCGACGACGGGUAGCUGGUCUGAGAGGAUGGCCAGCCACAUUGGGACUGAGAGACGGCCCAGACUCCUACGGGAGGCAGCAGUGGGGAAUCUUGCGCAAUGGCCGAAAGGCUGACGCAGCGACGCCGCGUGGGGGAGGAAGGCCUUCGGGUUGUAAACCCCUGUUGCCCGGGACGAAUGUACAUUUUUGAAUGCAUUGACGGUACCGGGUGAGGAAGCACCGGCUAACUCCGUGCCAGCAGCCGCGGUAAUACGGAGGGUGCAAGCGUUGUCCGGAAUCACUGGGCGUAAAGGGCGCGUAGGCGGCUCAUAAAGGCUGUGGUGAAAGUUCGGGGCUCAACCUCGAAUCGGCCAUGGCGACUUGUGGGCUGGAGCACUGUAGAGGCAGGUGGAAUUCCGGGUGUAGCGGUGGAAUGCGUAGAGAUCCGGAAGAACACCAGUGGCGAAGGCGGCCUGCUGGGCAGUGGCUGACGCUGAGGCGCGACAGCGUG